UACAGAGGUCUCAAGCGUUGUUCGGAUUCAUUGGGCGUAAAGGGUGUGUAGGUGGCGCCGUAAGUCCUGCGUGAAAUCUCGGAGCUCAACUCCGAGCGGUCGUGGGAAACUGGGCGGCUAGAGUGCGGGAGAGGAGAGUGGAAUUCCUGGUGUAGCGGUGGAAUGCGCAGAUAUCAGGAAGAACACCCGUGGCGAAGGCGGCUCUCUGGGACGGUACUGACGCUGAGACGCGAAAGCGUGGGGAGCGAACAGG
rnacentral:rRNA from 1 species